rnacentral:lncRNA from 1 species
UUUGUGAUUUAGGAGAAGUGAGGGGGUCCUGUUUAUAAGAUAAACUGCUGUGAGCACACAGUCAUUCCAAUACUCUAUGGCAAUUCCACUUUGAAAUCUUAAUGCAUUGCUACAUUGAGAAUGUGCAGGUGCUUCCUCUCCACAAAAGAAUUUUGUUGGGGAGUUUCAACACAAGAUGCUUGAUGCACAAUUCCUUUAUCAAGGUAAAAAAUUUUCAUAUUAAAUUCAUCUCCAUUUUCACUUUUGACUAUCUUGAUUUUGGUUUCAAAUUCAUUACAAAAUCCUUGCAAAUCAAUAUUUGCAGCAAAUUUAUUUUUCAAGGUAUAGAUCCAAGUACAUUUGUUGUAAUCUUCCACUAUUGUCAUAAAAAUCUUAAGCUAUCAUAGGCUAUUUAAUUAUAUGGUCCCCAAAGAUCACAAUGGACUGAAUCAAAACAUUUUUUGACUAGCGUUGACAAAUAAUGCAAAGUUUGAUGUUAUCUCUGUAUGUGGGGAUUUUGGUUAUAUUUAAGGACCUAAGGAUGGUGGAUAAAAGGUGUCCUAAUCUAUAGUCCUAGAGGUCAAAUUCUUCAGUAUGUAUAGCAACAACUGUUGUAGUUUUGGCGAUUAAGUAUCAAAGCUAAUGGUGAAACUUCUCUUUGCUGCAGAUGGUACAGGCCGUACCUCAUCUCACCCAUUCCAAUAGUUCUUCGAGUCAAAAGGUCCUGGAUAAAGUAAAUUUAAGAUAAGAAAAUGAGACAACAGCUCAAAGUGGUGGCUAAUUUUCUAGCUGAAAUCAAGUUGAAAGAAAAGGAUGGAACAAGGAGUUAAAGUGUCUGAAAUCCUUAAUGUACCUAUAUGAGUAACAACAACAUUGUUGCCAUUAGAAAGUGUAAUAGAGUACAAAACUUGUGCUGUAAUGUUAAUGAACAAAGAAAUUUCACAGAUCAUAUGGUUUGUGGCACACGUAUCUAGAAUCCAAGGCUUGUUUGCUAGAUUUUUGGAUUUUGAUGCCUUAGCAUAGAGACACAGAGAUAUACCAAAAACAUUGGGCAUUUGAACCUCAGCAAUGCAAGGACUAAUGACAGAAAGAACUUGAUUUGCCAAAUGAGGUGGAGGUAAAACAUUUUACUUGUUGAGAAGUGCCAUGAGUUGGUUAUACUGCUCUUUUGUAAUGGGAGAUUGGGCACUCUCAAGGAUUUUAGUGUGCAUUUUCUCUUAGACAGUGAUGCAGGUAACUUGAUUAGCGGAAGGAUUAGCGGAUUUACCCUUGUUGUAGAGUUUGUAUCCUGGAGGGUAUCCAUGAAUUUUAAAGCACUUGCAGGCCACUCACUAGAGAGGUUCCUUAAGGCCAACAAACCAACAUAUUCUUAUUGUAAUCUCCUUAGCUAUGACAUAGACAAGUGCUGAAGUAUAUUCCAUUACAGUGAGUACAGAAAUACUUGGUAGUUUAGUUAGCUGCAUAUUGAGCCCCACUUCGAGUUUCACGAGCCAUCAUUGCCACUGAUUCACUGAACGGUGUCCAUUGAAAUAUGUCUCUUCUUUUCUUCUUGUUGUAUAAUGGAAUAUACAUCAUUCAGUCCAGAAGACGGCUUAAUGGAGAGAAUUUGAGCUUUG